rnacentral:rRNA from 1 species
GGAAUUUUCCGCAAUGGGCGAAAGCCUGACGGAGCGAUGCCGCGCGCGGGAUGAAGUAUCUCUGGUAUGUAAACCGCUGUCAGGGGACGGAAACAAUGAUUGUCCCCAGAGGAAGUGGCGACUAACUCUGUGCCAGCAGUCGCGGUAAUACAGAGGUCCCAAGCGUUGUUCGGAUUUACUGGGCGUAAAGGGUGCGUAGGCGGCGAGGAAAGUUCGGGGUGAAAUCUCCAGGCUCAACUUGGAAACUGCCUUGAAGACUUCCUUGCUCGAGGGUCGCAGAGGAGACUGGAAUUCUCGGUGUAGCAGUGAAAUGCGUAGAUAUCGAGAGGAACACCAGUGGCGAAAGCGGGUCUCUGGGCGACACCUGACGCUGAGGCACGAAAGCCAGGGGAGCAAACGGGAUUAGAUACCCCAGUAGUC